GAUGAACGCUGGCGGAAUGCUUUACACAUGCAAGUCGAACGGCAGCACGGGGCAACCUGGUGGCGAGUGGCGAACGGGUGAGUAAUACAUCGGAACGUGCCCAAUCGUGGGGGAUAACGUAGCGAAAGUUACGCUAAUACCGCAUACGAUCUACGGAUGAAAGCGGGGGAUCGCAAGACCUCGCGCGAAUGGAGCGGCCGAUGUCAGACUAGGUAGUUGGUGGGGUAAAGGCUCACCAAGCCGACGAUCUGUAGCUGGUCUGAGAGGACGACCAGCCGCACUGGGACUGAGACAAGGCCCAGACUCGUACGGAGGCAGCAGUGGGGAAUUUUGGACAAUGGGCGCAAGCCUGAUCCAGCCAUUCCGCGUGCAGGAUGAAGGCCUUCGGGUUGUAAACUGCUUUUGUACGGAGCGAAAAGGCUCUCUCCAAUACAGGGGGCUCAUGACGGUACCGUAAGAAUAAGCACCGGCUAACUACGUGCCAGCCGCCGCCGUAAGAC
rnacentral:rRNA from 1 species